rnacentral:rRNA from 1 species
GUCUUUUUGAGUUAUUUUUAAAGUCUGACCUGCCCACUGAAUAUUUUUAAAUGGCCGCAGUAUUCUAACUGUGCAAAGGUAGCAUAAUCAUUAGUCUUUUAAUUGAAGGCUGGUAUGAACGGUUGGACGAAGUAUAAGCUGUUUCAUAUAAAAUUAUAUUAGAAUUUUAUAUUUUAGUUAAAAAGCUAAAAUAUUAUUAAAAGACGAGAAGACCCUAUAAAUCUUUAUAUUUAAUAUUAUUCAAAUUUUUUUGAUUAAUUUUAUUUUUAUAAUAUAAAAUAUUUUGUUGGGGUGAUAUUAAAAUUUAAUAAACUUUUAAUUUUGAAUUAAAACAUUAAUUUAUGAAUAGUUGAUCCAUUAUUAAUGAUUAUAAGAUUAAGUUACUUUAGGGAUAACAGCGUAAUUUUUUUUGAGAGUUCAUAUCGACAAAAAAGUUUGCGACCUCGAUGUUGGAUUAAGAUAUAUAUUUAGGUGUAGUCGUUUAAAUAUUAAGUCUGUUCGACUUUUAAAUUCUUACAUGAUCUGAGUUCAA